rnacentral:lncRNA from 1 species
AUGGGUUAUCCACAUACAUCCAACGUAAGCACAAGGGUCCUUAAAAGCAGAAGAGGGAGGCAGUGGAGGAGAAGCAGAGGGAAGGCUGGUAAGAAGGACUCGGCUGGAUGUUGCAGGCGUUGAAGACGGAGGAAGGGGCCAGGAGUCCAGGGAUGUGAGCAGCCUCUAGGAGCCGGACGAGGAAAGGAAAGGCAUUCUCUCCUAGAGUCUCCAGAAGGAACAAAUCCUGCCAACACCUCGAUUUUAGCCCCAUUAGACCUAUUUUGUCCUUCCGACCUCCAGAACUGAGUCAAGAAGCAACG